rnacentral:rRNA from 1 species
AUUGAACGCUGGCGGCAUGCUUUACACAUGCAAGUCGAACGGCAGCGCGAACUUCGGUCUGGCGGCGAGUGGCGAACGGGUGAGUAAUAUAUCGGAACGUACCCAGGGGUGGGGGAUAACGUAGCGAAAGUUACGCUAAUACCGCAUACGCUCUACGGAGGAAAGCAGGGGAUCGCAAGACCUUGCGCGCUUGGAGCGGCCGAUAUCUGAUUAGCUAGUUGGUGGGGUAAAGGCUCACCAAGGCAACGAUCAGUAGCUGGUCUGAGAGGACGACCAGCCACACUGGGACUGAGACACGGCCCAGACUCCUACGGGAGGCAGCAGUGGGGAAUUUUGGACAAUGGGGGCAACCCUGAUCCAGCAAUGCCGCGUGAGUGAAGAAGGCCUUCGGGUUGUAAAGCUCUUUUGUCAGGGAAGAAACGGUUUUGGCUAAUAUCCAGAGCUAAUGACGGUACCUGAAGAAUAAGCACCGGCUAACUACGUGCCAGCCGCCGCAGUAAAAC